CUAGGAAUCUUGGGAAUGGGCGAAAGCCUGACCCAGCAACGCCGCGUGGGCGAUGAAGGCCUUAGGGUCGUAAAGCCCUUUUGAGAGGGAAGAUGAUGACGGUACCUCUCGAAUAAGCCACGGCUAACUACGUGCCAGCAGCCGCGGUAAUACGUAGGUGGCAAGCGUUGUCCGGAUUUACUGGGCGUAAAGGGCGUGCAGGCGGUUUGUUAAGUCUAGGGUGAAAGCUCCCGGCUCAACUGGGAGAGGUCCUUGGAUACUGGCAGACUUGAGGAGGGUAGAGGAGAGUGGAAUUCCCGGUGUAGUGGUGAUAUGCGUAGAUAUCGGGAGGAACACCAGUGGCGAAGGCGGCUCUCUGGGCCCUACCUGACGCUGAGACGCGAAAGCGUGGGGAGCGAA
rnacentral:rRNA from 1 species